AUCUUCAAAAGAAGUUACUAUACAGUAAGAGCAUUUUCGUUUAAGAAAAUAAAAAUUUUGAUGAUAGUGCCACUUUAACUUUUAUUUUCUCACUUUGAUAACUGCAGGUUGCUCACCAUCUGCUGCAUGAUAGUGUUUAGGGACAGCUAGGUCAUUAUUUAUUUGGGGGGGGGGGGGGGGGGGUAGCACUGAAGAGAAAUAUUUUUCUUGGUAAAAACUCUGCUGAUCCAACCAUUGAAAAGUGUUGAAAAAUUUUGCCCAACUUCAAAUAUCAACAAAAAAAUAAAUACCCACCCCUUGCCAAAAACUUUACGAUACAACACCAUUCAGUUGUCACACAUGUCCUUUACCACUUCUCUGACAUGAGUUUGAUAACUGCUUGUGCAAUAUUCUGCAGUCUAAAGUUUCAUGUUGUCUGCACAUGUACUUUUUUUGGAGAUAUACCAUUUCCCCCAUAACAAAUUGGAAAAUGAUCGUGACUCUGAUUGAUUUACAUAUUGUAUUGACAUAUGACUGUUGACAUGGCUAUUUAGUCUUCAAUAUUUGAGUGAGUCAUGCUUUGGAAAUGACAAUAAUUUUUCAUUACCCAACCUUUGAAUUGUUUUUUUUUUACCCAACCUUUUACUCGCUCAAAUUUUUGUUUACCCAGCCCUUUUCUUUUCGGC
rnacentral:lncRNA from 1 species